ACCUCUACAAUAGAGCUCCAGAGUUGAGUAUUCUUUUUUAAAUAAAAAAGAAUACUCAACUCUGGAGCUCUAUUGUAGAGGU